rnacentral:rRNA from 1 species
AACAGCCCAUCGCCCAAUCCGCCGCCAACCUGGCGGACCGGAUAUUUGGCGUAUAGGAGAGACCCUUCCGAGUUCCGACUCCGGUGCAAGUCCCCCUGACUGGGGCUCUUACCCCGAGAGGGUGCAAGGCCCGUAGCUGCCGGAAGGCGGUCCUCGGAUGUCCUCUCCUGGGAGUCGGGUUGCUUGAGAGUGCAGCCCUAAUCAGGUGGUAAACUCCAUCUAAGGCUAAAUACGACCUGGAGACCGAUAGCGAACAAGUACCGUGAGGGAAAGUUGAAAAGGACUUUGAAGAGAGAGUUCAAGAGUACGUGAAACCGUUCGGAGGUAAACGAGUGGGCCCUCGAAGUGAGAAGGCGGGGGGACUCAGCCGAACGCCGUUGCCCGCCGUCGCGUCCGCGCUUCCCUCCCGGGACGCGGUGCGGCGGUUCACGGCUGCGGCGGACGGCGCAUUUCUUCCCGUCCUCCGACGCUGCGACCGGUCGGGCGCGCCACGAGCAGUCGGCCUUACACGCGGGAACUGGCAGGUAGCCGGGACAGCGCAUCCGCGCUGUCUCCGGUGUUUAGCCGUCCCGUUUUCGUGCAGCCGUUCGCCCGACCGCAGGACUCGGCCCUCAGGGGCCCAGCCGUGCCCUCCCCCUUGCGGGGAUCGGCUCUCGGCCCGGAAGGGAGGCCGUCGUCUCUUCCCCGUUUCACCUUAGCGUGGGCGGGGAGCGGCGGCGCCCGUUCGCCGGGUCGUUACCGAGCGGGUGCAGGCGGUCCGCAGCGAGU